rnacentral:rRNA from 1 species
AGAGUUUGAUCAUGGCUCAGAACGAACGUUGGCGGCGUGGAUUAGGCAUGCAAGUCGAACGAGAACCGGGGCUGUAGCAAUACAGUCCUGGGGAAAGUGGCGAAAGGGGCAGUAAGGCAUGGGUAACCUACCCCCGGGACGGGGAUAGCCAUUCUAACGGAUGGGUAAUACCCGGCGAGCUAGCGAAGGCGCAUGUCUUUGCUAGGAAAGGAAUUUCGCCUGGGGAGGGGCUCAUGUGAUAUUAGCUAGUUGGUGAGGUAACGGCUUACCAAGGCAAAGAUGUCUAGCGGGUGUGAGAGCACGACCCGCGCCACUGGCACUGAGACACUGGCCAGACUCCUACGGGAGGCUGCAGUCGAGGAUCUUCGGCAAUGGGCGCAAGCCUGACCGAGCGACGCCGCGUGUGCGAUGAAGGCCUUCGGGUUGUAAAGCACUGUCGAGGGGGAGGAAAGCCCGCAAGGGUCUGACCUAUCCCUGGAGGAAGCACGGGCUAAGUUCGUGCCAGCAGCCGCGGUAAGACGAACCGUGCAAACGUUGUUCGGAAUCACUGGGCUUAAAGGGCGCGUAGGCGGGCAAGCAAGUCCGGGGUGAAAUCUUUCGGCUUAACCGGAAAAGGGCCUUGGAUACUGCUUGUCUGGAGGGAGGUAGGGGCAGCUGGAACUUCCGGUGGAGCGGUGAAAUGCGUUGAUAUCGGAAGGAACGCCGGUGGCGAAAGCGAGCUGCUGGACCUCUUCUGACGCUGAGGCGCGAAAGCUAGGGGAGCGAACGGGAUUAGAUACCCUAGUAGUCC